UGAGAAGAAACUCAGUCUGAAAAACACUGUGCUGAGGACUGCUGCUUUCAUCCACAAAGCCUGCUCCGCAGGGUUGUAACCACUGAGCCCUGAGCAGUAGCAUCUCCUAAGUGCCUGAUCUACUGUUUCCCACACAUCUACAGGGGUCCCAGGGAACCUUGUAAUGCCUCCUGCCUAGGCAAUGGGUUUCCAAAAAGGCUCUUUUCUAACCUUCCCCAACACCCUUGCAGCCAUCCCACUCCUCUUCCUGUCCCUUCCCGCAGCACUUCUCAAGAUGAAUGCAAGGAGCACACGAGGAAGUGGAAGAGAAAGAGAAAGCAAAAGGGCAAGAGUGCUGAGCAAGGGAGUGACCUGGGCACACUAAGAGGUCAUUCACCCACUCCCAGGACUAUGGUGCCUCCUGCCCUCCAACACCAGCAGCUCUGCAGUCUGUCCUUGGCCUCUCACCUCACUCUCAGAAUUCCUCCCUCUCCUCCCUUCCCAGCUUCCUUUGAAGAAGAGAGAACCCCACAGCCAGAAAGAUGCUGGCAGUCCCCACAGUACUGCAAUGUCCCAAGGGCUGACAGGGAAAUCUUCCACUAAGAUGGCCUUGAGUGCCCACCCCCUCAUACAACUCUUUGACCCUCCUUUUCUAGAUGUGUGAAAUAGGAAUAUCCACACCUCACUGCUGUCCUAAGGGCAGUAGGGGCAGAGAAGUGAUUGGCACAGUGCCUGGCAGGUCAUCAGUGUCAACUGAGUGGCAGGAACUGUUACUUGGGUUUAGAUGAACCACUUCAGAGGGACUGUGAAUGCACCUUCCCAUCCCCUCUGGUUCUGUUAAUUCUUGUGGGAAGCUAAAUGGAAGGAGACCAGGAGGACUCACCCACAUUUUGCUGCCCACAGUGGGAAGGAAUUUACUGCCCAUCGCUAGAGCACCAAUUAUGUGCCAGUUGCUGUCUUAGUGCUUUACCUAGAUUUACGCCUCACAGCAAGCCUGGACAUAGGUACUGUUGAACCCACUUUACAGUAGCAGAAACAAGCACAGAUUCUGUCUUAUGUCACUUGCUGGAGAAGGUAGGUUUAAACUCUGGCAGUCACCACACUGGGGCAUCAGCUAGGCAGAAGGUCUUUGCAUCCCAUUUGGAAGACAAGGGACUGAGACCCAGUGAAGUGAAACAGCUCCACAGUAGCACUGAGAUGAGGACUCCUAGCCCAGUGCUCCUUCUACAAGUGUGGCUGGCCCUCAAGCCAAGUCAGUGCUUCCUGCCUGCUUUUGUACCUUGUACCAAUCCAAGCUCAACCCAAAAAGGGACCACCACAUCCUUUAGGGAUGUUAUUAGGGAGACCUAAUUACAGCAACAGUCAAUUUUGUGUCCAGCUCUAAGCUGUGUCUGUGAAAUACAACCCCCACCUCCAAGUUUAAUGGUCUAAUGGGGGAAGAGCAGGCAGGACACUGAUGAUUACAAUGUAAUGACACCAGGGCUAGGACAGAGUGACUCUGGGCACUGCCAGGGCAGAAGAGGGCUCCCAAUGCCCAGGAACUGUAGUUCACAGGAGAAUGCCUGCAAGAAAUGACUUUUCGGCAGAGAGCUGGAGGGUGUGCACAGGUAAGAAGAGGAGAGUGAUCCUCGCAGAGGGCAAGUGGGCAGAGGGCAAGUGGGUGUACAGGCCCCAAGGUGACAGUGUAGAAUCCCAGGAGGGGAGGAAAGGUUGAGAGUACCAGAGGGAGGCCUCCAGUUGGGGAGUAUGGGAGUGUGAACCUGGGAGCGGUUAGGAGGGACCAGGUGGGCGGGCCCGAGUCUCUUAGCACCUGGAGGGCAAUGGGGAGGAAAGGGAGGGUUUUAAGCCAGGGAGUGGGCCACAGGAUUGGCUUUGCUUAGCCCGGAUGGGAGGAGGAAGCUGGAAGCCAAGAGGAGGAGGUGGCAGUAAUUCAGGCCACAGUUGUGGGCCGCCAGCGGCAGCAAGAAACAGAGGUGGACGGGUCUGAGCGGGAUUGAGGAGUGGUUUCUGCUUUUGGUGAUGCUUAGAGAGACCUCCUCCAUCCCAAGAUGAUAGACAAGGACUCCUGAGCUCCAGCAAUC